rnacentral:rRNA from 1 species
UACGUAGGUGGCAAGCGUUGUCCGGAUUACUGAGCGUAAAGAGCGCGCAGGCGGCCAAGUCAGUCGAAUGUGAAAGCCCCCGGCUUAACUGGGGAGGGUCAUUCGAUACUGCUCGGCUCGAAGACAGGAGAGGGAAGCGGAAUUCCCGGUGUAGUGGUGAAAUGCGUAGAUAUCGGGAGGAACACCAGUGGCGAAGGCGCUUUCUGGCCUGUUCUUGACGCUGAGGCGCGAAAGCUAGGGGAGCAAACGGGG